GCCCGGGUGGCUCAGUGGGUUAAGCAACCGACUUCGGCUCGGGUCAUGAUCUCACGGUUCGUGGGUUCGAGCCCCGCGUCGGGCU
rnacentral:tRNA from 1 species